rnacentral:rRNA from 1 species
UACAGAGGAUGCAAGCGUUAUCCGGAAUGAUUGGGCGUAAAGCGUCUGUAAGUGGCUUUUAAGUCCGCCGUCAAAUCCCAGGGCUCAACUCUGGACAGGCGGUGGAAACUACCAAGCUGGAGUACGGUAGGGGCAGAGGGAAUUUCCGGUGGAGCGGUGAAAUGCGUAGAGAUCGGAAAGACACCAACGGCGAAAGCACUCUGCUGGGCCGACACUGACACUGAGAGACGAAAGCUAGGGGAGC